rnacentral:rRNA from 1 species
UGAAAGCCAGACGCAGCGACGCCGCGUGGGGGAUGACGCUUUUCGGAGUGUAAACCCCUUUCGAUCGGGAUGAAUGCCUCGCAAGAGGAGUGACGGUACCGGUAGAAGAAGCCCCGGCUAACUACGUGCCAGCAGCCGCGGUAAUACGUAGGGGGCCAGCGUUGCUCGGAAUAACUGGGCGUAAAGGGUUCGUAGGCGGUGCGGCAAGUUGGGAGUGAAAUCUCUGGGCUUAACCCAGAGACUGCUUUCAAAACUGCCGUGCUAGAGUGCGGGAGAGGCCAGUGGAAUUGCAGGUGUAGCGGUGAAAUGCGUAGAUAUCUGCAGGAACACCCGUGGCGAAGGCGGCUGGCUGGACCGCAACUGACGCUGAGGAACGAAAGCUAGGGGAGCAAACAGGAUUAGAUACCCUGGUAGUCCUAGCCCUAAACGAUCAGAACCUGGGGUGCAUCCCGUUGGGGGUGCGUGUCG